rnacentral:rRNA from 1 species
GAGUUUGAUCAUGGCUCAGGACGAACGCUGGCGGCGCGCUUUACGCAGCAAGUCGAACGCCCCCUUGCGGGGAGUGGCGGACGGCUGAGUAACGCGUAGGUAAUCUGCCCAGUGGUGGGGGAUAACUCGCCGAAAGGUGAGCUAAUACCGCAUGAGUUCGCCGGGUGAAAAUCCCGGCGAGGAAAGCAGCAAUGUGCCACUGGAGGAGCCUGCGUCCUAUCAGGUAGUUGGUGGGGUAACGGCCUACCAAGCCGAUGACGGGUAGCUGGUCUGAGAGGACGACCAGCCAGAAGGGGACUGAGACACGGCCCCUACUCCUACGGGAGGCAGCAGCGAGGAAUCUUGGGCAAUGGACGAAAGUCUGACCCAGCGACGCCGCGUGAAGGAAGAAGGCCUUCGGGUCGUAAACUUCUUUUGUGGGGGAAGAAUACUCGGCUUCGAAUAGGAGACCGAGGGUGACGGUACCCCCAGAGGAAGCACCGGCUAACUCCGUGCCAGCAGCCGCGGUAAUAC